GAUGAACGCUGGCGGCGUGCCUAAUACAUGCAAGUCGAGCGAACGGACGAGAAGCUUGCUUUUCUGAUGUUAGCGGCGGACGGGUGAGUAACACGUGGAUAACCUACCUAUAAGACUGGGAUAACUUCGGGAAACCGGAGCUAAUACCGGAUAAUAUUUUGAACCGCAUGGUUCAAAAGUGAAAGACGGUCUUGCUGUCACUUAUAGAUGGAUCCGCGCUGCAUUAGCUAGUUGGUAAGGUAACGGCUUACCAAGGCAACGAUGCAUAGCCGACCUGAGAGGGUGAUCGGCCACACGGGAACUGAGACACGGUCCAGACUCCUACGGGAGGCAGCAGUAGGGAAUCUUCCGCAAUGGGCGAAAGCCUGACGGAGCAACGCCGCGUGAGUGAUGAAGGUCUUCGGAUCGUAAAACUCUGUUAUUAGGGAAGAACAUAUGUGUAAGUAACUGUGCUCAUCUUGACGGUACCUAAUCAGAAAGCCACGGCUAACUACGUG
rnacentral:rRNA from 1 species